UACGUAGGGGGCGAGCGUUGUCCGGAAUUAUUGGGCGUAAAGAGCUUGUAGGCGGUUUGUCGCGUCUGCUGUGAAAAUCCGGGGCUCAACCCCGGACUUGCAGUGGGUACGGGCAGACUAGAGUGUGGUAGGGGAGACUGGAAUUCCUGGUGUAGCGGUGGAAUGCGCAGAUAUCAGGAGGAAAACCGAUGGCGAAGGCAGGUCUCUGGGCACCUACUGACGCUGAGAAGCGAAAGCGUGGGGAGCGAACAGG
rnacentral:rRNA from 1 species